rnacentral:rRNA from 1 species
AUGCUGGUGGUUGACAUGGCGACCGAGGAGCUCCACAUGCAUCGUUUCCCGGUCGAGGACAACGAGUACUUCCUGGCCUUCGAUCCGCUGGUGAACUUGUGCCGUGCCCUGCAUAUGGUGGGCCCUCGCUCGAAACUCCAGUUCUGGGUUAUGUCACUGCCACCGGAGAACCAGUGGGCCGAGUACGACGACAACAAGCUAUGCUGGGAUCUGAGCUACAGCUUCUACACCGACGACGAUCGGUGGGUCACCUCGACGAGCACCUGGUUUGACGAUGGCAAGAAUGCGUUGUGCUUCAGAUGUGGUAGUUUUUAG